AUGGCUGAUCUGUCUCUCCCUCCUAACCACAUUCUCCUGCCUUCUCCCCAUAACCUCUGACACCUAGAUGCUAGAAGUGUCCAGGGUGCUCUCCACUGCCACUUUUGAAGACUGGUGCACAGUCCCUCGGCUCUCCCUGAAUUCAACAAUCAACUGCUUAGUCUUAGUUAGCGUUGCAAGGGAGGUUGUUCUGGAAGCACUCAACUAGAUUAUCGAUCUCCUGCAUAUACUCUGAUUUAUCAUUAUCUUUUAUUUGUCCAAUAAUGGUGGUAUCAUUGGUGGAUUUAAAGGUGGCACUGGAUCUGCGUCUGCCUACACAGUCCAGUGUAUAAAGCAAGUCGAGCAGGGACCGAGCAUGCAACCUCAAUGUGCCCGGAUGCUGAUGGUCGACGAGGAGGAGGUGUCAUUGCCGAUUCAUACUGACUGAGGUCUGCUUAUGAGGAGGUCACAAAUCCAGUUACACAAGGAAAGUGCAGAGCAGAGCACCUGUGAGAUCACAUCGGCUGUUGCUCCAUUGUGGCAGUAGGUCAUUUGAAAGACUGGCUCAUUCCUUACUCAGGUAAUAGUUGAUCUGCAUCACAAACCAGCUCUCAAAGUACUUCGAGCACAACAGACGUGCCACCACUAGGUAAUCUAUUAUACUUUGUCACAUGUACAUAGGUACAGUAAAAUUCCUUUUUUGCAUACAAUCAGUAAUAAUCUUACUAUAAAUAAGCACAAUUACACUUAAGUAUAAGAGUGUAGGAAUGGUAGAUUAGACUGAGAGAACACACGAGUUGCCACAUUUCUAGCAACAUUUUAUAUUAUUCAAGUCCAAAAGUUGAAACAUUUAUCAGAAUAUGAAUAGUUACCAGUAGAUCCAGGGAGUGUGUGAAUAUUUACUGUUGUCUGUGAACAUUUAGUGGUAGACGUGGAGAGUGUGAAUAUUUACUGGAGGUCUCAGAGAGUGAUUGUACUCUCAAUCAGUUUAUUCUUACCAGGUAAGCAAUUGCCAUUUCUCAAUCUGCCCAACAGACCCAGACUAUUUUUUACUCUGAUGAACCUGAAUGUCUUGGCAACUUGGCAACUGUUUCCUCUGUGGAUUAAAAUGGACAUUACUCUCAAAUAGGAGAGUCCUGUUGCCUCAGAAUGGAAGGGCAAUUUCUGAACAGAUAGUAUUGUACAGAGCAAAUGCUUUAAUUUUUCCAUUUGAAAUCAAGGUUUGGAAACUCAGGUCAAAUUGGUUAGAAUUUCCGUAUGUACAGACAUUCAUUGACUUACAUAAUUUGUAAUUUCCACAACACUCGGAAACGGGCCAGCAAUGCUUAGCCAGAAACCGACGUGCCACAGAAAGUUCCCCAACGGAGAAACAGAACUGAAGCCAGCAAUGGCGUCCGUAGAAAGCACCACGCCUCAGAAGGUGCCCCAAUGGCGAGACGGAACUCACGCCAGCAAUGCUGAUCCAGAAAGCCGUGCGCUGCAGAAAAUGCCCUGGAUACCUCCGAGACAGUUAAUACUCUCAGUAAAAGACAAAGUGGUGGAGUAACUCAGCGGGCCAGGCAGCAUCUCUCUCGAGAACAUGGAUAGGUGACAAUUCAGUUUGAGACCCUUUUGCAGACCCAGUUAUUUUGGGCAGGGGAUGGGGAUUCCGACUUGCGCAAAAUCUGACUUGCAUAUGGUUUCGCGAAAUGUAACCCUUACACAAGUCGGGGAUGCCUAUAUACCCCGAGUUUCUUCUUCACAUGUGAUGGCAAUCUAAAGUGAUUGGGGAUUCAAUUAUUAUGACAUUAAACUGGAUAAGAAACAAUAAUCCUCCAACAAUUCUCAGGUGCAGGAAUUAACACAAAUGAGACAACAUGAAACAACAGAUUACCAAGAAUCGCUGGUUUGGAGAUGAGAAACAUAAUUAAAGGAAUAAGCCUUAUACUUGGAAUCCAUGUUGAAAAUCUGUAAUACAAGUGUUCACGUGAUCCGUUAAACAAAAUAUAAAAUCAAAACACAUCUUGAGUUUUGAAAUUGAGUUUAUUUCAGUCAGAGAAUUCCUAUUGAAACUUGCUCCUGUGACAUCAUAAUCCCAGAGAUUUUCCUUCACUGUUCUUUCACUCACGGGGAUCUGUUUUAACUGUACGAUAAAGAUUUGCAAAGAACUAAAGAUGUACCUGUACUGCUUUUCAAGUAUUGUACUUUGAAGCCUCUUCUAAUGGAGCUGUACAGCUGAGGUGUGUCAUCAGCAGUUUAUCCCCAAGGACUGCUUCACAUGAUACUCAUCAGCACACACAGCUGGCACCUACUGCAA